CCAGUCAGGGAUAGUGAAGACCUCCUGUCCUGGUAUUGAAGUCAUGAUCAGAGCUAUCCAGCCCACCCCAAAAUUUCAAUUACUUUGAAUACCAGAAAGAAGGGAAUGAGGUCUAGGUUUCCUCCUUCUACGAAUGCUCUGGGAAUUCUCAGGAAAACCAGAUUUUCAAACCAAUGCUUCACUUAGGCCUGGGAAGAUAUUUAGCCAUAAUGGAUCUGCCAACUCCUGACUCCUGUAUAAAAAGUUCCUUUAACCAAGGACAUAUUCAAGCUGAAGCAGGAAAGAUAUUUCUUGUACAUGAAGAAGGGUCAUCUACCCUAUAAGCACCUCAGAAACCAAUGGCCUUCUUACUCACCACUAGGAGGAUUGUACAACUCUAGGAUUCUUCAGCUCUAUGGUCAAAGGAAAUACACCAAACUCAAUAUUUACAUUCUA